UGUAUAAGAGACAGCAGCAGCCGCGGUAAUACGUAGGUGGCGAGCGUUGUCCGGAAUCAUUGGGCGUAAAGGGAGCGCAGGCGGGCAUGUAAGUCUUUCUUAAAAGUUCGGGGCUCAACCCCGUGAUGGGAAAGAAACUACAUGUCUUGAGUACAGGAGAGGAAAGCGGAAUUCCCAGUGUAGCGGUGAAAUGCGUAGAUAUUGGGAGGAACACCAGUGGCGAAGGCGGCUUUCUGGACUGCAACUGACGCUGAGGCUCGAAAGCCAGGGGAGCGAACGGGAUUAGAUACCCCGGUAGUCCCUGUCUCUUAUACA
rnacentral:rRNA from 1 species